AACUCUUGACAACGGAUCACUUGGCUAUCGCAUCGAUGAAGAACGCAGCGAAAUGCGAUAAGUAAUGUGAAUUGCAGAUUUUCAGUGAAUCAUCGAAUCUUUGAACGCACCUUGCGCUCCUUGGUAUUCCGAGGAGCAUGCCUGUUUGAGUGUCAUUAAAUUCUCAACCUUGAGUUUCGACUCUUGGAUUGGACUUUGGAGCGUGCUGGCGUCCCGCGUCGGCUCCUCUUAAAUGCAUCAGCGGAAAUCUAACCUUUGGCUUUUCGAACGUCAGUGUGAUAAUUGUGUUGCGCUGUCUUCAGAGUCGGAGUUCCGCUUACAGUGGUCUUCGGACAACUCUUAUCAAAUUUGACCUCAAAUCAGGUAGGACUACCCGCUGAACUUAAGCAUAUCAAUAAGCGGAGGAU
rnacentral:misc_RNA from 1 species